CGCGUUGGAUUUGAACAUCACUUCACCCGCACAAAUCAAAGAGUGCGUUGAAGAAUGCGAUUUGUGCAUUUGAGCGCGCGCGCGGCCCGAAGACAACCGACGCCGACGACAAGGGCACGCCAAUGGCUCGCGCUUUGAAGGUCCGUGCGCCAAGAGGAAAAAGGCUUCUUUCUUGCCACCAACCCGAGCCAAGCGGGAGAGCAUCCAUGGGGGACAUCCAAGACACACACUAGUUCUUCACUUGCUAGCCAGUCGAUUCGUAAAUCCUCAUCGAACGCCAUCGAAAAUCACUUGUGCCCCACUAGCGCAGUUGCUCUUGGCACUUGGCGAAACAAACCACACGUACAUACGUCGAGGUUCUCGUCGUCAAGUUUGCUUUCCGUUUUCCCUGAAGCAUUGUUUGGACCACCGGCACCCGCACACUCCCGCCAGUUCCCGCUUCCACUGGAAAGCUUUUCCGCCCCUGGUCGGAUGCGAGGUGCCCUAAUGAUGUACUUUCCGUUUCAAUCUCGCACGUACACGUCGUCGUUAAUGAACUGCUUUGGUACGUUUUUCGAUCAUCAUCAUCAUCAUCAUCGUCUUCAUCCUCCUCGUCGUCGUCGUCGCCGCCGUGGUUCACCCUUCGAACCGACGCGAUGCGAACGAUCGAUCGAUCACGCUCCGCAGAAGAACAACGAAAGAACCGGACCGGUGGCUGGUCACUUCGUCGGUUCCCGGUUGGUGCCUCGUCAGCGGCCCCGGCUUGACGCAUGAGGAGAUCUCGUCCAAGAACAGAAGGAGAAUUACAAAAAAACACCAAGACAAAACAAACAAAUAUAUGGUGGCAGGAAAAAUCCAUCAAUUGCCAGGCACACACACACACACACACACGUGACCAGUCUUCGGCGAUGGCUCAAAUCCGAUCCGGUGCUACGUACGCGGCGCUACAACACGCCGGUAACGGUGAAUGAAGUUCUGCUGAAUUUUUAACAGCCCUUUGCUCGAGUGAAUGCAACUGUAAGGAGACCGUAGAAGCUGCUUGAAGCUAAGAAGAAGUAGAAGAAAAAGGCAAAAAGUACAACAACAAAAACACACAACCACACUGUACCAGUCAGAAAAAUGCAGAACUAGAGAAAUGUGCGCGCGGGGUCGAAAACAAUACACCACUCAACGCAACCGGUAAGAACGAGAAUGAAACCCCGAUAAGAAACUUGCAUUGCAUUUAUCUCAAGAAUUAAGUAAAGCUGUUCGGCAAAGCAAACAAACUGAAAAGAAGAAACACCCAAACGCACAGGACACAAUGCAGAAACACACGCGCCCCAGGACAAGCGUGUUGCUGGGCUGGGAAGCUGCCGAUGCAUUGAAAUGCAUCGAGAGAAAACAAUAAAUAACCAUGAUGUGGUUACGAGACUCGGGGCUCUGCUCCCCAAAAAUGCACACUGCUUAAAAAUGACACACGCCCCUCGGUCGAGCCCUUGCCAUGUGCCAUUUACGACUCUCGUCAAUCGCGCCCGAUCUUGACCGAUCGCUCCCCGCACGAUAGCCGCCGCGUCCCAGCGGAAAUGCAUGGGAAAUGUACGCAACCCGGGCAGCGUUGUGGUUGCUGAAAUUCCUUAAGCAUGUUACAAAUGUGGUAGGAAUUCUGCAACAGUUUCGCAGACAGUAAUGUUCAUUAAAAUAUAAGAUUCUUUUUGCAGACUUUUUCCGCUUUUUUUGUUUUGUUUGUUGCUUUGCUUGCUUGCAAAGCCCCGAGACGGGCGAAGGUGAAGCUUAUUUUUCUGCUUCCUCCUUUUCCGUUCCUGCGGCCCGAGUAUGGUGGUUGCACACGCGUAACCGCAACGAGGAUUGAUUCGCGUAUUCGCGCUUGUCAUUAAAAUGUUUUC